rnacentral:lncRNA from 1 species
ACCUUCCACCUCCCGAACCAUCCCAGGCUUCUCCACCGUUGGGCGGAUGCUCUCGUCCUGAGGGAGAGGAACAGCUUUCCCUCCUUUCCCAUCCUUUGCAGAUCUACCUGGGAAAGAUGGGGAACGCAUCGCGGAAAUAGUGUCUCCAAGGAAGGAAAGGAAUUCACGAGGCUGACUUGGAAGAAAAGGCCCAGUCCUCAACAGAGACAACCGGACGGAUGCUAACCAGGACAUGAAGGGAUGGGCUGUAGGGCUCUGUCCUCCUGUCCACGUGCUCUCACUGGUGUCUCAAAUAAAGAUAGAAAAGCCCUG